rnacentral:rRNA from 1 species
AUUGCACGCUGGCGGCAGGCCUAACACAUGCAAGUCGAGCGGAGCGGCGGACGGGUGAGUAAUGCCUAGGAAUCUGCCUGGUAGUGGGGGAUAACGUCCGGAAACGGGCGCUAAUACCGCAUACUAUCAGAUGAGCCUAGGUCGGCUUAGCUAGUUGGUGGGGUAAAGGCCUACAAAGGCGCCGAUACGUAACUGGUCUGAGAGGAUGAUCAGUCACACUGGAACUGAGACACGGGCCAGACUCCUACGGGAGGCAGCAGUGGGGAAUAUUGGACAAUGGGCGAAAGCCUGAGCCAGCCAUGCCGCGUGGAUGAAGAAGGCCUUCGGGUUGUAAAGUACUUUCAGUCGGGAGGCGUUACCGACAGAAGAAGCACCGGCUAACUCCGUGCCAGCCGCCGCGGUAAUAC